GGUGAAUUACGCGGCGGGGCUGUCGCCGUACGCGGACAAGGGCAAGUGCGGCCUCCCGGAGAUCUUCGACCCCCCGGAGGAGCUGGAGCGGAAGGUGUGGGAACUGGCGAGGCUGGUCUGGCAGUCUUCCAAUGUGGUGUUCCACACGGGUGCCGGCAUCAGCACUGCCUCUGGCAUUCCCGACUUCAGGGGUCCCCACGGAGUCUGGACCAUGGAGGAGCGAGGUCUGGCCCCCAAGUUCGACACCACCUUUGAGAGCGCGCGGCCCACGCAGACCCAUAUGGCGCUGGUGCAGCUGGAGCGCGUGGGCCUCCUCCGCUUCCUGGUCAGCCAGAACGUGGACGGGCUCCAUGUGCGCUCAGGCUUCCCCAGGGACAAACUGGCAGAGCUUCACGGGAACAUGUUUGUGGAAGAAUGUGCCAAGUGUAAGACGCAGUACGUCCGGGACACAGUCGUGGGCACCAUGGGCCUGAAGGCCACGGGCCGGCUCUGCACCGUGGCUAAGGCAAGGGGGCUGCGAGCCUGCAGGGGAGAGCUGAGGGACACCAUCCUCGACUGGGAGGACUCCCUGCCCGACCGGGACCUGGCACUCGCCGAUGAGGCCAGCAGGUCUGACCCCCCACCCCCAGGGAGCCCAUGGUAGGGCGGGGCGGGACGACAGCAGAAACACAGCCAGCUCCAGCACGGGACAGUGGCUGAGGCUCACAGGCAGUGAGG
rnacentral:sRNA from 1 species